rnacentral:rRNA from 1 species
AUACGGAGGGUGCAAGCGUUAUUCGGAAUUACUGGGCGUAAAGGACGCGUAGGCGGGUUGGCAAGUCAGAUGUGAAAUCCUACAGCUUAACUGUAGAACUGCAUUUGAAACUGCUAACCUAGAGUAUGGGAGGGGGAGAUGGAAUUAGUGGUGUAGGGGUAAAAUCCGUAGAUAUCACUAGGAAUACCGAAAGCGAAGGCGAUCUCCUGGAACAUAACUGACGCUAAGGCGUGAAAGCGUGGGGAGCAAACAGGAUUAGAAACCCUAGUAGUCC